rnacentral:lncRNA from 1 species
UUUAAUUGAACAGCAGGAUCAGAAUCAAAAUCAGACAUAAUUAACCUAAAAAAAGACAUUACAGAGCAAUUAUUAACAAUCCCUAAACUUCCAGAACUAGCUAGCUCGUUUGUUUGGAAGUAGUAGUAGUGCUUAACAUGAACCAUAUAGAGAUCAAUUAGAUGAUAAUCUAACUUCCAGCAUCCGUCAAUAUUUUAUUUCACAAUGGGAGGGCCACAUUUCCACAAAUGGCAACACCCAAUAGCAAAUGGAGCCUCAACUGAUUUCGGCCUCUAGAAGCUGAAAAAGUUUUGUUGGAAAAUUCGACUAUCAGAUUUCAAAUGAUUAUGUGAAAGGCCAUAUAUUAUAUAUACUAGCAGAUUCUUUGAAGAAAGUAACCACUGCAUAUUGAAACUCUUCCAAUUCCUCUCUCUCUCUCUCUCUGUACACACACACACACACACAGAGCCAUGUAAACAAAAAUAAGAAAAAUAAUGGAAGCCAUAAAGGCAUAAGAUUUUAGGCUUGUAAAAGCUUAUUUCAUGUUUAAUCAUGGAGCCAAAUUCAUAAACUAAAUUAAACCCCAUCCAGCAAUUAAUCAAAAUCUAGAUUUGUGACUGACAAAAGGUGAAGAAAAUAUUUGCAUAAUUUUAGUAAAAUCACCAGAAAUACGGUGAAAAUGCUGGGUACUGUGAAGAUCAAUCAAAGCCAAAUAUAUAUUAAACGGCUUAUAAGCUUCAGCAAUCAAAACUUACCUUGCGCGGGAGACAACGAACAGACAGACGGACGACGGUGGUGGCAGCGACGACAGAGACGAUGGUAGCUGGAACGAGGCAGAAAAACGCUCAAGAACAGCUGGAAGCUGCAGUUACGGCUGAUCAACCAUUGGUACAGUGCCGGCGCACCUAAACGGAACCCCCGGAAAGCGGCGUCGGAGUCGGGGAAGAGCGUUGGUAAGCAAAGACCGGCCGGCGAGCGAUGUGAUAAUCUUAGGUU